UGAUCUCUUUUUCUCAUGUGUUGCCUCUAAGGGAUGAACUGGAGGUGGGACAACGCUCAGGCAUUCCUGCAAAGGACUAUCUACAAGUGACGGCUCCCCCUGGGAACCUUGUUUUUUCCUCCUGCAGUCUUGUCUUCUAUCUAAGGCACUCUUAUACCUGGUCAGAUUCUUCUGGGCUGAAUUCUGUACAAAACAGCCAAUGGCAUACAGGGUAUUAGCAACUGGUUUUCAACAUGAUCCCAUUUUGGAGCCACUAAUAAACAAGGGAGAUGGAGAUGUGAAAUGUGAUCGCGUUGUGAUGAGUGCCGAGUCAGCAUUCUAUACACUGAUGAAAAAUGAGAGUAUGUCCAGCAAGGCAAGCAGAGUUCUUUCAUGUUUUGAUAAGCUCAUGACUGUGAUACUCAACUGGAAUUUGUAGUCUUCUCUGAAGUUUUUCUGAAUUGCUACAAUCAUGGAGUGAUAUCUUCUUGGAACUGAUUGUCUGAAAGUCAGCUGGGGACACGAAGUUGGUAUGUGUUUUCAAUUCCUGGGAUAGUGAGAGGAAGUAAUGUUCUUGGGGUCAUCUCUCUUCUCAGAAAAUUGGAAAAGGUAGAGAAAUUAAAUUAUACAUUCCUUUAGAUGCAAAAAUGAAUGUCUGUCAAAAAAGAUGUCCACCUAGGGACAUGAAUCCUUUUGGUGGUUGACUGGGUUCAUGGCUGUGGUCUGAGGGCGUGAAAUGCGUUGAAACCUGCUUGUUAAUAUGAGUCCUUUGAUUUGCAUUUUUAAAAAUGUAUUUGUGUGAGACAGAGAGAUAAAGCACAAGUG